GAUGAACGCUGGUGGCGUGCCUAAUACAUGCAAGUCGAGCGAACAGAUAAGGAGCUUGCUCCUUUGACGUUAGCGGCGGACGGGUGAGUAACACGUGGGUAACCUACCUAUAAGACUGCAAUAACUCCGGGAAACCGGGGCUAAUGCAGGAUAACAUGUUGAACCGCAUGGUUCUACAGUGAAAGGCGGCUUUGCUGUCACUUAUAGAUGGACCCGCGCCGUAUUAGCUAGUUGGUGAGGUAACGGCUCACCAAGGCAACGAUACGUAGCCGACCUGAGAGGGUGAUCGGCCACACUGGAACUGAGACACGGUCCAGACUCCUACGGGAGGCAGCAGUAGGGAAUCUUGCGCAAUGGGCGAAAGCCUGACGGAGCAACGCCGCGUGAGUGAUGAAGGUCUUCGGAUCGUAAAACUCUGUUAUUAGGGAAGAACAAAUGCGUAAGUAACUGUGCGCGUCUUGACGGUACCUAAUCAGAAAGCCACGGCUAACUACGUG
rnacentral:rRNA from 1 species